CACACCAACAAACCCAGUUGGCCCUAACUAAACACCUCGGGUGCCCGGCGGCCGGAGCGCCUUCACUGCUCGGUCGCCAUGGCGUCCCUCGUCCCCCGGCUCCUUGGCCGCCGGACUCUGCAACCCGCCGUUGCUCUACGCUCUCCACGCGAUCCUUGGAUGCGUUUCCACGGCGCAAAUCCCCCACGCCCCUGCCCGCUGUUCCGGCCUUCCCCGGGGGUUGAUGGAUGCGCGAGAGCUGCGCGGAGAUGGUGGUUUCUCUCGCCGGUAAGGCACGGGAGCACGGCGGUGACGCUGAACACGGACGGCGGCUUUGCGCGGUUCUCCGUCGGAGAUCCGGGCCCGAAUCAGAAUGGGGGGCAGAAUCAGCCGCCGGCGAAGAAGAAGAUGUCCAAGAAGUCCAAGGUCAACCAGCUCAAGUGGUAUCGCCUCAAGGCCAAAAAGAAGAUGAAGUCGCCCAACCCCGAAGUCAGGAUAAGAUACAAGCUCGGAAAGGCCAAGAGGAAAGAAGAAUGGCUGAUUGAGAAACUCAGGAAGUACGAGGCCCCGAGGGCUCCGGAGCCGGUUCACGACCCUGAGAUUCUGACCGAGGAGGAGAAGUUCUAUCUGAAACGGACUGGGGAGAAGAAAAAGAACUAUGUUCCUGUUGGGAGGAGAGGGGUGUUUGGUGGUGUGGUUCUCAACAUGCACCUCCACUGGAAGAAGCAUGAGACUAUGCAAGUAGUCUGCAAGCCCUGUCGACCUGGGCAAGUGUAUGAGUACGCAGAGGAGCUGGCGAGGCUCAGCAAAGGGACAGUUAUUGAUAUUAAACCUAAUAAUACCAUUAUCUUUUAUCGUGGAAAGAAUUAUGUGCAGCCAAAGGUUAUGUCACCUCCUGAUACUCUUUCUAAGCAGAAGGCCUUGGAGAAAUAUAGGUAUGAACAGUCUCUGGAACAUACCAGUAAAUUUGUUGAGCAGCUGGAACAGGAGCUUGAAGAUUACCAGAAGCAUGUUGCUUUAUUUAAGAAGCGCGAAGGGGCUAUUUCUGAGCAAAUCAGCAAUGAAGACUCUGCUGUGGAUGACCUCACAACUAACUCAGAUACCGAUUGAAUUGCCUGCUUCCUCAAUUCACAUCUCAUAUUCUUUCCGCGAUGAAGGGUUCUCACGCUUCCUCAUAAAAUGGAAAAAGGGACAGUUAGUAGUUCAAGAGCUAUUAUACUGCUAGAGUACCAUGAACCCAGAGGAGCUAUACCUAUGAGGAUCAAGUACCAUAAACAUAUUUAUGGGAUGGUCACAUUAAGAGUUAGUAAAGUUUACGUUUGAAGAUUUAAGGUAGUAGUGGAUGUUGAUGGUGGAGGAGAUGAGUUGAACUUUUUGAGAGAGAUGGGCUUGCCUGUUGCUUUGAAAAAUCAACUUCGGUUAUCGCUGCAAAGGAAGCCUCUCAAAUGGAAACUGAACAUAUGAAUGAGACAAAAGGAAGAAGAUGGAAUACACGGAGUCACAAGCAAACGAGCUAAGAGUUAUGGUUACAAGAAGAUAGAGUUUAGUUUGGACGUUGUUAAGGAAGUAGAGUUGAGCAAGAGAACAACUUUCAAAUAUGUUCGUAACAAGCUACAUAUGGCAAAUAAUACCUUGUGGCAAAGAUUAAAGGAAGGAAGGCUCAUGUGUCACACCAAUGCCAUCAAGUCCAUGUUGACCGAGAGAACAAGUUAGGCAAGAUACAAAUUUGUUUAUUGAUGUUGCAUAGCAUUACAGGAGAGCUUGUAUUCGAAGGAAUGUGAAGUGUCAUACACAUUGAUAAAAAUUGGUUGUACCGCACUCAUCAUACUUAGAUUAUAACUGGGCACUAGAUGUGGAUGAUCCCUAUCGCGGCAAGCAGAGCUAAGGUUUUAUUGAGAAAUUUAAGGUCUUGGCAGUAGUAGCAGGGUCAAUACGACAUUGAUUGUACCAUGACGUUUGUUGGAAGAUAAGCAUUUGGCCUUUCUCGUAUGAAAAGCUGGCGAAAAGGAGUAGUGAAAGACGUGAGGUGGGAUCAAUGGUGAACAAGGUUCUGCUGGCAUUGACACGGGAUGUAAGCCAUGAUUAUUUGGUUAAUAGACUUCUUCCCGCCAUAAAGAUAUGUGAUUAGCGAGUGAGUGUGGUUGUGCCAUAUACAUGUUGCAAUGCAACGCGAAUACUCACAUUCUAGUAAAUGAUCUUUUGUUUCCAGCAUUUAUGGCGAAUGGGUGUGACAUGCGGCUUACAUGCCAUCUGCGAACACCUCAUUUGAACAUCCAAGACGUACGAAUCUUCGCAGCAUUGUAAACACUUUGAAAAAUGUCGUCCCGUUCACUCUUUAACAUUGUUGUUAAAAGCGUAUGAGUACCCGACAAAGAGAACCAAUUGUAUAUUCCUUACUAUAUGGGCAUGCAUGCGAGAAGUAUUGAAGAAGAAAUGGGUUAAUCGUUACAAGUUGUGCGGUAGAACUUGCUUCCACAUGUGGAGAACCUUGCAACAAUUCCCUCUCGAAUGCAUGCUUGUAGAUGAAGGAAACUAUAUAAUUGCUUCUCUUCGUAGGGUACUCUAUGCGCUUGGCGUACCUUAGCAACAAUGUUAGUGAGUGAACCAGAAGACAUUUUUGAGAAAGUGUUUACAGUCCUGCAGAGAAUCCUACGACAAGGAUGUUCAUAUCAAAUGAGUUCGCGGCUAUGGCAUGUAAACCAAAUAUCACAUCCAUCAGCCUGAACCCUGCACAAACAAAAGAACAUUCAUGGGAAUGGAGUUCUUUGUGUUUGUUGGUGCAAGGUUUUGCCCACUUGUGUUUUGGAGAUUGUUGCUAGUGCACACAAAGAGAAAUAGUCCAGGCAAGCUCGAGGAGAAUGUUGUAUUCGGAGUCAAUUUGAGGAACUUCACCGAAGACUUUCUGCGUUGCAGAGAAGGAUGAGCUACAUUUCGUGAAGACAUGUUUGCGUGAAGAUUGUGGCGAAGAAGAUUGACCUCUUAAAAUUAUUGAUGACGUAAAGCAAUAUCUGUUCGGAGUGUCCGAGGAAAGAUGACUGCUAUCGAAUAGAUUGAAGGCGAAGUGAAGACGUAGCAUUCAUUUUGUUGUUCUCCUUCCCUUUCUUUAAGUCAUAGGACCUGUGUACUAUUAAUAGGGGUAUAGGUUAUCGAAGAUUAGGUCCGGUAUGAUGCUUUGCCGAAACCUAUGAAAGAAUGAGAGAUAUCUCUUUAUGCUUCGAAUGCUUACCUGCAGAAGACCUUGUUCUUCGGUGCUGCAGGAGAUAUCUUUCAGACUGAUGAGUUAGCAUUUCUUGCUCCGCAAAGAAUGUCACCGUUGUGCUCAAAUUCCAAUCAUUGGAAUCGUGUCGUUCGGCCAUUGGUUGAUUCGCAUGUCCAAUUUGGUCAUUUUCCAUCAGGGAAGGCUGCGGCUAUAAAUAGCCACCCCGCUCGAAUGUUGUCCGUUGGCUGCUCCGCUUAAGAUUUCUGAGAAGAUUGAUUGAGAAUCCCCUCUCUGAGUGAUUUGAGUUUAAAAUCCACCAAGAGAAAACCAAGAGCCGAAACAGUGGUUGAGCAUCACAGUAGUUCCGAGUCAAGGUUCUUGUACCUAUUACUCUUAGAGCUGCGCACUCUCUAGACGGAUAGGUGUCGACUUAAGUGACGAAGAGUAAUCGUCUUCACCAAGCAAAGUCUUUAGCAACCAAGAGUAGUUGUGGUUCGCGAAGAAGUCUCUCAAAGGUUUGGAGAUCGCCGACAACCACGAGUGAAAUUCUCUGGAGUCUGAUCAGCUCCUAGUUGAAGGAGAAUAGGACGGAGAGAGGUUUUGAUGCGGAGCAUCCUACGGACAUCACCAUGUCAAGAGUCCGUUUGGCAUACAUAAAGGUGAAUCUUCUCCUUUAGUCGUGUUCACUUGACCCCU